CUUCAUCUCUGACUCCUGCUGCCCUGUUCUUGCAUGCUCUGCUUCCCUGGCUGCAGCUCAUUAAAAGUUAAUGCCUGGCUCUUGGUCCAUGAUGAGGUAAUGCCAUUCAUUUGCUGACGAGCCUUUAUAAGUUAUUGAUGCCAACCCAGAUGUGCCUCCAUGACCUGGUGCUCUGCUCUUGGUGCCAUCUUUCCCAGCUAGGCCAAUUCCAGCAGGUCACACUGGAAGAAUGAACCACGGGCAGCAUGCUUGGGAAAACCAGUGGGACACCAUGCAUGGGUGCAUGGCUGGCUGUGGUAGGGCUGCUGCCUGGUUCACAGACCUUGUACCUCCACCACAAUGGAUCAACCUGAGCAUCCUUCUCAUGUGCCAAGCUGGGAGGCCCACUCUGCCCUACUUCAGGUCUCCUCCUGGACCUUGGAAUAGCUUACCAAGCACAAGGAUUUGCUCCUCCUUCCAACAACAUGCAACGGUGGAAGAGUGCAGGAGGAGGCAUUUGAUGACUCUAACCCGAACCCAGAGGUGAGCCCCUAAAAUGAAACGUUUUCCAUGCACGAUUUGGUUUAAAAAAGGAAAGAUUUACUUUCAGUAACAAUGUAAUUUAUUUUAGAAAGCAAAAUUAAGCCACCGUUCUUUAAUUAUGUGAUGGUUCUGGCAAAGGGAAGCAGCAGGUACAGUUGGUGAAGUAUUUUCAUUGGAGCUGAAUUUCACACAGUUCCAUGCAGAUACAGUGCCAGAAACUUCUUGAAUGUGUCUGGCUGAAAGCCAUAUAUUCCAGCGGGCCUCUGCAGAGAAAGGCACGGAUGCUCAGUUUGCAGUGAAGUGAUUAAUGUAGACAAACAACGGCUUUAAACACGCUUGAGUAAGACUUCAGAUGUGGUAGCUUCCAAACGGGUGCUCUCCCUCCCCAGAUGGGUUUGUGUGUGGGGACUUCCAUUGAUACAAACCUCAGAUGGCAAAACCUCUUUGCCCAUUCAAGUGAAGACAGCCUCCCAGCGUAACCAGGGCUGACAGCACUGUGCUCCAUCUACUCUACAGUGAAGCUGACAGUUGCAUGUAAGCACUUCCUUCAUGAAAGCAUGAGCUUAUUUUAAACAAAUCUAUUAUGAGAUGGUAGAUUACAGAUGGGGCUAUCUUCAUGUAGCUCAUAUUAAGCUUGGCAUGUGGCUUGCACACUAUGUGGUACAUCAGCACUACAAAUACUCCCUGUCAGUAACACCUGCUUAAGUAAGAAUGAGGCCAGUGCCUCUGUCAUGUCCCUUCACCUGGUUUUAAACCUGUACAGCAGCUCUGUACCAGCUCUCAAAACUCCAGCAGAGGGAAGGGUAGGAUUAAUGGGCUGCAUCAAAAUGAGUGUGACCAGCAGCCUGAGAGAGGGAAUUUGCCCCCUCUACUCUACUCUCCGGAGACCCCCACUGCAGUCCUGUAUCGAGCUCUGGGACUCCCAGCACUAGAGGCAUGUAGAGCUGCUCAAGCAACGAGGCCACAAAGAUGCUGUGAAGGCUGGAGGAGCUCUGCUCUGGAGC
rnacentral:lncRNA from 14 species